rnacentral:RNase_P_RNA from 1 species
GCGUUCGGGUAACCGCUGCAGCUUGCUGCAGAGGAAAGUCCAUGCUCGCACAGGCUGAGAUGCCUGUAGUGUUCGUGCCUGGCCAAUUCAUAAGCCAGGGCAGCCGGGAAUCCUCCCGGCUGACGGCUGGGAAAAUGCCUAAGUCGGGUAACCGAUAUGGCAUGAAUACCUAUAAAAGUGCCACAGUGACGAAGUCUUUUCAGAAAUGGAAAGAGUGGAACGAGGUAAACCCCGCGAGCGAGAAACCCAAAUAAUGGUAGGGGAACUUUCUCGGAGGAAAUGAACGAAGAGAAGGACAGGCCGCCUGGUCUGUAGAUAGAUGGUUACCGCCUCAGUGCGAGACUCUGAGUCGCUUGCAGCACCGAGGAACAAAACAUGGCUUACAGAA